rnacentral:rRNA from 1 species
AUUGAACGCUGGCGGCAUGCUUUACACAUGCAAGUCGAACGGUAACAGGGUGCUUGCACCGCUGACGAGUGGCGGACGGGUGAGUAAUGCGUCGGAACGUGCCGAGUAGUGGGGGAUAACGCAGCGAAAGUUGUGCUAAUACCGCAUACGUACUGAGGUAGAAAGUGGGGGACCUUCGGGCCUCACGCUAUUCGAGCGGCCGACGUCUGAUUAGCUAGUAGGUGGGGUAAAGGCUCACCUAGGCGACGAUCAGUAGCGGGUCUGAGAGGAUGAUCCGCAACACUGGGACUGAGACACGGCCCAGACUCCUACGGGAGGCAGCAGUGGGGAAUUUUGGACAAUGGGCGAAAGCCUGAUCCAGCCAUGCCGCGUGUCUGAAGAAGGCCUUCGGGUUGUAAAGGACUUUUGUCAGGGAGGAAAUCCCUAGUGCUAAUAACACUGGGGGAUGACAGUACCUGAAGAAUAAGCACCGGCUAACUACGUGCCAGCCGCCGCGGUAA